UGCCGACGCUGGCCGAGCUGGCCGCGCAGCGGCAGGUCCAGCCCGCUUCGGACGCGGGUUCGUACCUCGUCGUGGGCAG
rnacentral:tRNA from 1 species